rnacentral:rRNA from 1 species
GACAGAGGGUGCAAACGUUGUUCGGAAUUACUGGGCGUAAAGCGCGUGUAGGCGGUCUGAAAAGUCAGGUGUGAAAGCCCUGGGCUCAACCCAGGAAGUGCACUUGAAACUGCCAGGCUAGAGUACUGGAGAGGUUGGUGGAAUUCUCGGUGUAGAGGUGAAAUUCGUAGAUAUCGAGAGGAACACCGGUGGCGAAGGCGGCCAACUGGACAGAUACUGACGCUGAGACUCGAAGGCCAGGGGAGCAAACGGG